UACGUAGGGUGCAAGCGUUAAUCGGAAUUACUGGGCGUAAAGCGUGCGCAGGCGGUGAUGUAAGACAGUUGUGAAAUCCCCGGGCUCAACCUGGGAACUGCAUCUGUGACUGCAUCGCUGGAGUGCGGCAGAGGGGGAUGGAAUUCCGCGUGUAGCAGUGAAAUGCGUAGAUAUGCGGAGGAACACCGAUGGCGGAGGCAAUCCCCUGGGCCUGCACUGACGCUCAUGCACGAAAGCGUGGGGAGCAAACAGG
rnacentral:rRNA from 1 species